GACGAACGCUGGCGGCGUGCUUAACAAAUGCAAGUCGAACGGCAAGGCCCUGCUUGCUGGGUACCCGAGUAGCGCACGGGUGCGUAACAGGUGGGUGAUCCGCCCUACACUUCGGGGUAAGCUUGGCAAACUGGGUGUAGAACGGAAGGGGACCGGUCUCUAGCGAGCUGCUGGAAAGGUUUUUUCGGCGUAGGCCCAGCUCGCGGCCAAUCAGCCCGUUGGUGGGGUAUUGGCGCACCAAGGCGGCGCCCGACAGCCGCCCUGGGAGGGGGUACGGCCACAUUGUGACCGAGAUGCGGACCAGACUCCUAAGGGAGGCAGAAGAGGGGAAUAUUGCACCAUGGGCGUACGCCUGAUGCGCCGACGCCGCGUGGGGGAGGAAGGGGUUCGUGGUGUAAACUCCUUUCGCUAGGGACGAGGCUGCGUUGUGAGGGUACCUAGAUAAGAAGCAUCGGCUAACUACGUG
rnacentral:rRNA from 1 species